GGGACUAUGGCGGAAUUGGUAUACGCGCUAGCCUUAGGUGUUAGUAUCUUGGGAGUUCGACUCUCCCUAGUCCCACCA
rnacentral:tRNA from 1 species